AAGCAUUUGCCUAGUAGUGCUUGUCUCAACCAGCCGCCACUCCAUCUCCAUCCCCUCCCCUCUCCCGCCGCCGCCCCGCUCCCGCUCCCCCUCUCCCUCCCCGCCGCCCGCUUCGCCUACUCCAGAGGAGGCGGGGCCCGUGGAGGAGGACAACCUUCCCAGAUCCAGCGGGCAUGGGAAGUCGCCGCUGGCGCGCAACCAGAGCAUUGGAGGCAUCGGCGGCGGCGGGGAGCUGUGUCGGAUCCAGAACCUGGACGACGGCAUGGAGUUCGAGCUCGGGAAGGUGCAUGAGGAGGUCGUCCGUGAGGAGGUGCUGCUCGUUGGCGAGCAGAUGAGGUACGAUGUUGGAGGCGACGAAGGGGUCGUCUCCCUGAUGGUGAGCUGGACGCGCAGUGCACCCUCGUUCCUCCCUCUUUCCUACUUCAGGUGAGCAUCUCCACCCUCCUGGGAAGGUGAGAUUUUUUUGCAUUUCUUCCUUCUUCUUCAUCCUCUCUCUCCACUGUUUUAAUCUGCAUUUGAUUGUUGCACUGCAUCUAUGAGAUAUAUGAAUUUUGAUUGAGACAUUCAUCAUCACAUAAAUAAAAUGCUAACAUCCUCUAAAUUCCUUAAUGUAGUUGUUAAAUUGCUCUUCUCUUGCUGGAUUGCAUCCAUGAUUUGUUUAUCCUUGAAGCAAAUACCAUAACGUGAGCUUGAAGGUUUCAACGUGCUGGAUUGGUCGUCGGAUUGGAUGUCCUCGGUGACUUGUCAGGGUUAUUGCAGGAGCACCAGAAUCUGGGAUAGUUCUGGCAAAUAUCGCUGAUCCUCAGCAACCUAUUGAGUCAAGAUGGGAGGCUCAAUUCACUACUUGGCUUGCUCGCUCCGUGAUUGCUCGCUAGCUCUGUUUUGGUUCCAUGAUAACCAGUGUCAUGAAGUCUACCACCGGCUUUCCUUUUCCUUUUCUAUGCGCAGAUUAUUUGUUUUCUUCAGCUGCAGUUUUGAUGGACAGUACUUAGUCCAUGUUGAGUGAAGGAGCUGGUUUUGCGGCAUCAGUUGAACUUAGUCAAAUUAGGUGUGUUAUGUAUGUACGUUGGAGAUGAAAAUGUAACAUUAGCUCUAGAACUGGUUGCCUAUACUGAAGAAAUACAGGUACAUAUAUAGACUAAGGCUUGUGUCUCCUGGGUGCAUUUCCUAUAAAAUUAGCUCUCAUCACCAUAACAAAGGAGUGGGAUAUCAUAUACAGUAUGAUAGAUAUGGAAGACAACAAGCAAAAAUUCAGUUAUGAGUCCACCAACAGGAUUGUUGAUGCCCGUAGGAGGGGGACAUCGCAGUAGAUGGGCUGAAGUAGGAGGCUGAGAGAAAUGGGAAACAACGGAUUCUAACACAUAGUAGAUGCCUAAGAUGUCAUUGAUGCGCUAUUGAGGUUCAAUGAGCAUAUGGUAAAGAAAGGUAUCAAUGGAUUCACCAACGUAGAUUACAAGAGUAAAGGUUUAUCUAACGAGGCCUUGUCGCGGUGCUACAAGUGUUGCCCCCUCAUCCCAAAGGGCAAGGUGAAGGAAGGUGCCUAUGUGGUUCUUCUGCAGCUUGCAACGAGGAUUGUUGUGUCCAACCUGCACAAGAAUGCCAAGAAGUCCUUCUCGGAAACGAUUAAGGACAUGUAUCUGCACUACAACGAGAGAUCUGGACAGCUUCUUUGUGGCUUCCAAACUUAAAAUGUUUGUUUGAAAGUUAGUUUAGUUUUUUGUUGUGGAUUCAUAGCUUCUCACAUGUACCGUCCUCUUAGACCUUUAGAUUUCCAAAGAAAUUAAAUGAAGAUAUGGUGGUAUGGUCUCAAUAGUACAACUUAAAGCCUUUCAUGCUU